rnacentral:rRNA from 1 species
GAUGAACGCUGGCGGCGUGCCUAAUACAUGCAAGUCGAGCGAACAGACGAGGAGCUUGCUCCUCUGACGUUAGCGGCGGACGGGUGAGUAACACGUGGAUAACCUACCUAUAAGACUGGGAUAACUUCGGGAAACCGGAGCUACUACCGGCUCAUAUAUUCAACCGCUUGGUUCAAUAGUGAAAGACGGCUUUGCUGUCACUUAUAGACGGAUCCGCGGCGCAUUAGCUAGUUGGUAAGGUAACGGCUUACCAAGGCAACGAUGCUUAGCCGACCUGAGAGGGUGAUCGGCCACACUGAAACUGAGACACGGUCCAGCCUCCUACGGGAGGCAGCAGUAGAGAAUCUGCCGCAAUGGGCGAGAGCCAGACGGAGCAACGGCGCGUGAGUGAUGAAGGUCUGCGGUGCGUAAAACUCUGGUAUGAGAGGAGAACAAAUGUGUAAGUAACUAGGCGCGUCGUCACGGUACCAAGUCAGAAAGCCGCGGCUAACUGCG